CUUCGGUCCACUGGGCCGGUGAAAACAGGCUUAGGCAAGAGGGGAAGAAGCUGUUCCUGAAUCACAGAGCGUGUGCCUUCAGGCUUCUGUACCUCAUCCUCAUGGAAACAAUGAGAAGAGGGCAUGUGCUGAAUGAUGGAGGUUCUCAAUAAUGAACACAACCUUUCUGAGGCACCACUCCUACAAGAUGUCUUGAGUACUAUGGAGGUUCCAGCGUCUGCAGUCUCUCGUAUCACCAAGGUGCACCUGCGGAACAGGAUAACGUGUGACAGAGCAUGAGAAAAGUGACCAGGACUUCAUCCAGCAAUGUUCCAGAGCUGAGUGAAGAGCCAAUGAAAUGGCAUCUGUUAUCGACCUGUUGUGACGGUGGGCAAAUUGGAGCAGAUCCAGAACAUUGCUCAGCUAGGAGCUGAUAGGCUUCAUGAUCAGCCUCUCAAAGCACAGUGGAUCUGCUAUUGGAUUAUAGCAAUUGAAGCAGGUUAACACGUUCUUCUUGGGCACUGGUAUGAUUGAAGCCUGCUUGAAACAAGUUGACUGUCAGAGCGAGAGGUUGAAGAUGUCCAUAAACACUCCAGGCAGCUGAUUAACAUAGAUCUUCAAUUCUUUUUCAACUAUGCUGUAUGGGCCAGGUAUUUUCUAAUCAUUCACCCUCCUGAAGGCCUCUGGGAGAAGCAUUUAAACUGGCAACUUACCAGUAAGAAGCACUUGAACUGAGAGAAAUUUCAGAGAAAUAUAAAAUUUUCAUUAGUUCUUUAGACAGUGUAACAUGCUGUAGGGUUUCAUUGCUGUGUAACAAGCUGUAAGGUUUCACUGAUAAUGUUAUGGUUUCUCUGUAGCAGCAAUGUUUGGGUUAUGACUAGAGAUAACAUGGUUUGGAAUGCUGUUGUUCUUUCUUGUGAGUCUGGAAGAGAGAUUUUCGUGGCCUUUUGCUGGGGAGGGAUGAAGAGAGAGACGCGAAUGGAGGGCGCUAGUAGACCACUGGACAGGUGAACUUGGAGCAAGGGUCCGAAAGGCAGCGACGAUCGGAGGAGGUCGAUGGUGGACGACCAGCUUAUCACUGGAAAUGCUGUUGCCUCCAUAUCAAAUGGAGGUAGUGUUUUGACAUGCCAGUGUCCUGAGCACAGAUUCUGAGGGAGUGCUGCUCAAUUGAAGUUAUUAAGCUGAGGUCCCAUCUGCUCUCUCGUAUGGGCAUAACAUCCCACUUGCGCUGGUGCUGGAAAUGCCACAGAAAAAGAGAUAUGAAGUUCCAAUGGCUUUUGGGAAGUACUUUUUAGACCGCAGAAGAUAGAAAAUACUACAGGACACUAUAGGCACUUUGCCCCACGAUCUUUGCAAGAUCAACCUAAACUUUCCCUCCUGUGUAGCCCUUGAUUUUUCUAUCGUCCAUGAUUUACAGAAAACACGUUUAGAAAAUUAUGCUCAAGGUAGCACAGUGGAUAGGAAGUCAUUGGCAAAAGUUAAACAAAUGUUUUCAAAAAGGAACAACAGCUCAUUUCCCACUCUGGACAUGCUGCAGUCUUCAGGAUUUAAUAUCCAAUUCAAUAAUUCUAGAUAGCCUGUUCUCCUGUUUACAACAGCACUGGCUAAUUUUAAUAUAAAGUUAUCCCUCUGUAGCAUUACUCUCACUAUAGAAGCUGUUCUGCUUUGCUGGACAUUUCCGGCAUUAUUAUCCUUUGGUUUCAUUUUUCAGCAAUUAGUCUGACAUACAUAUCAGUUUUAACACAUAUCUUUGUUUUUCUGCUCUCAUUAUUCAAUUAAGCAGAGGACUGUGUAAACAUUGGUGUCAUGUGAGCAACUCUGGCCUCAUCCUAACAACAUUUCCUUCAUUUCAUCCAACCCUCCCAAAUUCUAACUCUGACAUAAAGCCAACUUACUUUCUCACUUCUCUAUUCUGUGCUGAAAUUUAACUCUAUUUCUCUUAACACAGGUGCUGCUGAGUAUUUCCAGCAUUUUCUGUUGUUAUUUUUGAAUAGCUACUGUUCAGAUAAGAAGAUGAUUGAAGGUCAUGUGCCUGAGGUAAUUGCGAGAGCUUUUCUUACUGAAACCAAAGAUUUGGACUUCAACACUGGUGUGAAAUGUCAAAAGAUAAAGCAUGAUAGACAUGGACUGUAAAGGACUUAGGGAAGAAAAGAAGUUGUUCAAGGAAUGGACAGAAAAGUGGCAGAUACAUUUCACAGGAACAAAGAAAAGAUAUUGCAUUUUUGAUUUAAAAAGAAGUAGAUGUAUUUUCAAUGGAAAGAUACUGAAGGAUGAGGGUAUCAGAAGAGCCUGGGAAUUCAAAUGUUUAAUAUUUUGAAACGGUGAAUGCAGAUCAGUCAAUAGAAUUUUUAGUUUAUAAUUAAUGGCAGAAAUAUGGAGGAAUCAUUUAAAAAUGCUCAAGUACAGUUAGACUUCAACAGGCAAUAUUGAUUUUCAAAAAGCAAGAAUAAUCCUUUCCAGUUGGAGAAUCAGAAAUUAAGGUUAUCGUCAUAGUGACAGCAAGGUUUGGGCCAAAUUCUUCAUGAAGGGAUUUGUUGAGAAGUUAAAAUACACACAUCGCUACAAUUAACUACAUUGUAUUCUGCUAGGAUAAAAAUUCUGAAGAUUUCUGAAAAACUAAAUACUAUAAUGACCGAAUUUAAAGAUAAAAGAAAGUUAUUUGAUCAACCAUGUCUGAGCAGUUAAAAGUGUGAAAAUGUUUCUUUUUGUUUUAAUUUACAAAGUAGAAUACUUCUUAAAUCAGCUCACAGAACAGAUGUUAGAAUGCUUAUAAAGGUAUGAGCUGUUAAUGGAACCACAAUGGGAUAUCUAAUAUGUGAAAUACUGAAGGUUCAGGAGCAUAGUUAAUUUCUUACUAGUGCAGAUGAGUAAAAUCAGAACAAUUUCAAAAUGACACAAUUUCUGUAGAAAUCCAAAAGAUCACUUUCAGUGUCAUAGAACAUAGAAAUCUGCAACACAUUACAGGCCCUUCGGACCACAGUGUUGUGCCGACCAUGUAACCCACUGUAGAAACUGCCUAGAAUUUCCCUACCGCGUAGCUUUUUUAUUUUUCUACGCUCCGUGUACCUACUUAAGAGUCUCUUAAAAGACCCUAUUGUAUCCGUCUCCAUCACCGUCACUGGCUGUGCAUUCCACGCAUCCACCACUCUCAAUGUGAAAAACUUAACCCUGACAGCCCCUCUGUACCUACUUCUAAGCACCUUAAAACUAUGCCCCCUCGUAUUAGCCAUUUCAGCCCUGGGAAAAAGCCUCUGAUUAUCCACACAAUCAGUGCCUCAACUGACAACAAUAGCGCCUCCCGCGCUCCCCCCCUGCCAAACCACGUGAUCUGUGCUAGACCAGUGGGAACGCUGUCUGUGAAGCCACAGCAAGUUCACCAUGAAGCUUUAAUUACUGGUAUAUUAUUGUCAAAUGUAUCAAAAUACAGUGGAAAGCUUGCUUGCACAUGAGUUAUAAGGAUCAAAUUAUUACAUGGUGCAUUGAGCUAGAGUAAAGUAAAUCAGUAACAAUACAAAAUAAAGUGUAAAAGCUACCAAAAUAAUGCAGUGCAGGAGCAAGUCCAUAACAAGGUAGAGCCAUCUUAUCCUACAAGAGAUCUGUCCAAGAGCCUGUUAACACUGGGAUAGAAGUAGUCCUUGAGCUGGUGGUACAAACUUUCAGGCUUUUGUAUCUUCUGCCUGAUGGCAGGGGUAGAAGAGGGAAUGUCUGGGGUGGCUGUGGUCAUUGAUUAUGCUCACACAUAAAAGUUGCUGGUGAACGCGGCAGGCCAGGCAGCAUCUCUAGGAAGAGGUACAGUCGAUGUUUCCGGCCGAGACCCUUCGUCAGGACUAACUGAAAGAAGAGCUGGUAAGAGAUUUGAAAGUGGGAGGGGGAGGGGGAGAUCCAAAAUGAUAGGAGAAGACAGGAGGGGGAGGGAUGGAGCCAAGGGCUGGACAGUUGAUUGGCAAAAGGAAUAUGAGAGGAUCAUGGAACAGGAGGCCCAGGGAGAAGGAAAAGGGGGAGCGGGGAAGCCCAGAGGAUGGGCAAGGGGUAUAGUGAGAGGGACAGAGGGAGAAAAAGGAGAGAGAGAGAAAAAAUGUGUGUAUAUAAAUAAAUAACGGAUGGGGUACGAGGGGGAGGUGGGGCAUUAGCAGAAGUUUGAGAAGUUAAUAUUCAUGCCAUCAGGUUGGAGACUACCCAGACAGAAUAUAAGGUGUUGUUCCUCCAGCCUGAGUGUGGUUUCAGCCGUGGAUAGACAUAUCAGAAUGGGAAUGGGACGUGGAAUUAAAAUGUGUGGCCACUGGGAGAUCCUGCUUUCUCUAGCGGACAGAGCGUAGGUGUUCAGCAAAACGAUCUCCCAG